rnacentral:rRNA from 1 species
CGUGUAGGCGGCUUGACAAGUCAGAUGUGAAAUCCCUGGGCUUAACCCAGGAAGUGCAUUUGAAACUGUCUUGCUUGAGUAAGGGAGAGGAAAGUGGAAUUCCUGGUGUAGAGGUGAAAUUCGUAGAUAUCAGGAGGAACACCGGUAGCGAAGGCGACUUUCUGACCCUAUACUGACGCUGAGACGCGAAAGCGUGGGUAGCAAACA